rnacentral:misc_RNA from 1 species
ACAAACUUGGUCAUUUAGAGGAAGUAAAAGUCGUAACAAGGUCUCCGUUGGUGAACCAGCGGAGGGAUCAUUACCGAGUUUACAACUCCCAAACCCUUAUGUGAACCAUACCUAUCGUUGCUUCGGCGGGACCGCCCCGGCGCUCUGAGCCCGGAACCAGGCGCCCGCCGGAGGCCCCAAACUCUUGUUUUAUCCGCAGUUUUCCUCUGAGUGUCAAAACAAAAUAAAUCAAAACUUUUAACAACGGAUCUCUUGGCUCUGGCAUCGAUGAAGAACGCAGC